UACGAAGGGGGCUAGCGUUGCUCGGAAUUACUGGGCGUAAAGGGAGCGUAGGCGGACAUUUAAGUCAGGGGUGAAAUCCCAGAGCUCAACUCUGGAACUGCCUUUGAUACUGGGUGUCUUGAGUGUGAGAGAGGUAUGUGGAACUCCGAGUGUAGAGGUGAAAUUCGUAGAUAUUCGGGAAGAACACCGGUGGCGAAGGCGGCUUACUGGUCCGGUUCUGACGCUGAGGCGCGAAAGCGUGGGGAGCAAACAGG
rnacentral:rRNA from 1 species